rnacentral:rRNA from 1 species
UAGGGAAUCUUCCGCAAUGGGCGAAAGCCUGACGGAGCAACGCCGCGUGAGUGAUGAAGGUCUUCGGAUCGUAAAACUCUGUUAUUAGGGAAGAACAAAUGUGUAAGUAACUAUGCACGUCUUGACGGUACCUAAUCAGAAAGCCACGGCUAACUACGUGCCAGCAGCCGCGGUAAUACGUAGGUGGCAAGCGUUAUCCGGAAUUAUUGGGCGUAAAGCGCGCGUAGGCGGUUUUUUAAGUCUGAUGUGAAAGCCCACGGCUCAACCGGGGAGGGUCAUUGGAAACUGGUUGACUUGAGUGCAGAAGAGGAGAGUGGAAUUCCAUGUGUAGCGGUGAAAUGCGUAGAUAUAUGGAGGAACACCAGUGGCGAAGGCGACUCUCUGGUCUGUAACUGACGCGGAGGCUCGAAAGCGUGGGUAGCAAACAGG